AAAAAAAAAGACUUAGACAGGGAGUUAAGACAAUAGGUAGAUAAUUAAAAGAGUUAGGUACAGGUAGUUGUAAUGGUACUAGCAGUAGUAGUUGUACAGGAGUAGUGUAACGGUGUCACAUAAUUAAUAAUGACGUACUGUAUUUAUAUUGCCUUGCCUAAUUAGCAUUAUAAGUGUAUGUAUACAUAUAUGCACAAGUGCAGAUAGUGGAUGUUGGCGGAUAAGGGUGGGGCGGACAUGAUCUCGCCACCCUGCGUCACACACACACACACACACACACACACACACACACACACACCAUACUUCUUUUAUUGCCAUCGAUAAGUAAUCGGUAGCACCUACAUUAUAGUAUCUAAGUAUUCUCCAUAGUUAAUCUCUCUCUAAUAUAUUUUAGCAUGUAUUAUUCUUAGCUAUAAGUACCUUUCCCCUUACCUUAUUUAUGUAAUUAGAGAGUUAUAGCUAUGAAUAUAUUCAUGUACUGUGAGUGCGGUCAACCCGCCCAUAUUUCUACUGUCAGCACUUUUUGAAGGCGCUAAGCGUCCCUUGUGCCGGCUCCGGCGACCGGCAGUCUCUUGCCAGGGUGUAACGCUGUACCACGCAGGGGACAUCCGUUGUCCCGUACACGCCACACCCUUCUCCCAAAACUCUGUACAUAUAUCUAAAUAUACACAUUUUUAUAUGUUCACCUUUGACAUUCACCUGAAAACAACAGAAACUCACCACGAGUGACCUUACCUACAACAUAAAGGUAAGAAACUAAUGAACAGUGUCCAGCGGUAAUUGAUAAUUCAAAACCACACUGGAACAUUUGGUGGCAGCUUAAUGAGAUACGAAUAACUAACUUCAGUGCCAAGUGCAACAACAAUAAACAGUGGUUGAAAAACAAGUGGUGAACAGACACAGAGAACGGAGAAAACGGCAAACAGUGGCAGGGUAGUGAGGAGGGCAAAGGAACGAACCGACGUUGUUUACAGAACUUACGCUGACACACCAAAACACUCGCGCCCAACCAAGAGCGACUCACCAAACGGUCUCGCCUUACUCACCCAGCCUGCCACUCCCAAAAUUCACUUCUUGUUAUAAAAGAGGAGACUUAAAAGACUCAGGGCGAAACCUAACAUAAAUAUAUGGUUUCCCUUCGGUCUAAUUAUUCGUCGCAGAUUCUCGCCAAAGACAUCAUCGGCGCAGACAUUCUCGGCGCAGACCAGCAUAUCUCCCACCUGCAGGAAUUUUGCAGGAUCCUACAAGGACACUACUAUCCCAAGAGGAGCCUCCCAUGAAAUGGACGAAGCGCUCGCUCUCGUUUUCUUCCAAGUGUUUAGGGAUAACUAGAAUAAUUUCAUUUGUCCCUCAACUAACUUAAAAUUUCCAUGCUUCUAACAAUAUUAACCAUUCUUUCUUUAAACAUGGAGGCGCCUUUGGACGAUGAAAAUGUAAUGUAAGUGUGUAAUUAAUACCUAAUUAAGGAAGGUUAAUAAUACCACAUUUAUGGCUAAAGCUAAGAAGUUAGCUGAAGUUUAUGAAACGGAGUGUCAUUCCUAAGUGGAGAAUAGUGAUACUAGAUCAUCAGAAGAAUUAUCAACGGAACAGAAACCCACUACAGUGGUAAAUACCGUGUCUCAUGAGGAUGAAAACGUGUUGAUUACAAGAUAAGGAAAUAAAUACCCAUCAUUAUCAGUAGCGACCAUGUCUAACGCUUCUGCUUCUGCUUCUGCCUCUAGUGGCUCUCUUAAUACCUUGCAUGUAUCUGCUACACUUAAGGGACUUCCUAUUCCAGAAUCAAUAUCAGAAUUUCGUGGAGAAAGCCCGCAAGAACGGGCUCAUGACUUCAUCCGUUCGUGUGAGAAUGUUAUGAGAUCAAAUCCUAUCACAGAUGAAGACAAGAUCUUUUUCGUCAAGUCCAAAUUGGCUGGAGAAGCAUCACGCAUGAUGAAUACCAGCGCUUUUAGUCCGCGUGAAAUAGGGACUAGUUAUGCUAAUUUCAAGAAAAAUUUCUUGAAAAUUUUUGGGGAUAAGAGCCAAACUGAUCUUAUGGCACUAGCAUCCAAGGUGAGUGUUAGGUUAGCAGCUGAAGCUAACUCUCUUCAUGAAAUGAAGGCACUAAUUCCGACACACCAGUUCGUGACAGACUACAUGGACGUCUUACAGCUUAACAAUUGGUUCCAAGGAGACAGCAUGACAGAAACAAAUUUCAGAAGACUUCUGGAAUUUAUCUUUUACAUGACAUUGGUGAAUGAGGAAGUGAGGAAAAACGCAAGUUAUUUCAGUUUUAAGCCGGGAGACACAGUAGCUGACCUUGCAGUCUUGAUUAGAGAAAAAAAGGGGCUACCUGGUUCUUCUCCGGAAACUCAAACCUCACUGGUUGCUCCACUCGUAGGUGACGACCAAUCCGAACCUUGUGCAGCAGCCAUGGCAAAGCCCGGAAAUGUCUGUUCGUACUGCCAUAAAAUAGGUCAUGUUGAAAAAAGAUGCUUUAAAAAACAAAAGGACCAGAAACUGGCAUCAAAUAAAUCUGACUCGAAGAACAAAACAAAAGGGAAUAAUCUCUCUGUUAGACCAAGAACAGGUGCAUCGCCCCAUGUGAACACAGGCAGGGCAAGAUCCUACAAGGAUGUCACUACCCAAUACUGCAUCAUACAUGGCCAGUGUAAACACUCGCCAGAACAAUGUAAGGAUAUAAUCAACAUGAGAAUUGAAAAACAGGCCAGAAUAGUACAAAGCAGUCGGGGAAAGACCAGCGCACUGUAGUAAACAAACCCGACUAAAACAUCUAAAUGCGCAAGACGCUGAGGCAGCACAUUCUUCUGACAUGUCAGUGUAUUCAACUAUAAAUGCUGUCAACAACCAAACAGACAUAAUGCCAUUACCAACUAAGGUAGGUAAGCAUCGCUUAUCUUUGGCUGUAGACACUGGAGCCACGGUAAACGUGAUCUCUGAAGAAUCUUACAAGAUUCUGAAACGGAAUUCACGCGGUGGUAAAUGGAUGACCCCCCGUCCAAGUGACUUGAAUCUUUCUGGUGUCACUGGGUCAGCCCUAAAAAUCCUAGGAAUAAUUUCCUUACCAAUAAGGCUAUCUAAGAAUACUCAGCCUAUUCAAACUGAUUUCUAUGUAGUCAGCAACUUUAAACUUCCUUCUGACGGCUUGUUAGGGCUAAGGUACCUAUUUCUACCUAUCAUCCCCAUCCAACCGGUCUAAUCUUCUCUUAAAGCUCCCUAAUCUCUUAGCACUAACAACAUGAUUACUGAGUCCGUUCCACUCAUCUACAACUCUACUUGAGAACCAAUUCCUUCCUAUAUCUUUCUUAAACUUAAAUUUUUAAAGCUUGUACCCGUUAUUUUUUGUUCUGUCUUGGUUGCUGAUCCUAAGAAUUUUGCUUACGUCCCCCUUAAAGACUUCUGUCAGGUUCCCUCUUAACCUACGUCUCUCUAAAAAAUGUAAAUUUAACAGCUUCAGUCUCGCCUCGUAAGGAAUACUCCUCAUCCCCUGUAUUCUUUUAGUCAUUCUCCUCUGUGGUGUCAAUGGCAGGGUAACAACUUCCCUAUUUCCUGUAGAGGGUUUGCUUCACACACUAGAAAUUGGUCAGUCAACAUACAAAUUGACACCAUUGUAUGCAACGGACAUGAUCUAAUAUUACUACCCAUUGCUAGAAGCUAUCUUGACCACAGAUGCAAUAAUUGUAAACAUACCUUUUAAAUCUCUGGAUAAUUUUGAGGCCUAUGAGAUUAAAUCCUUUUCAUUCUUCAUUAAUAAUUCGGUGAUGACACGACAUUUUUCAUUAUAUACAAUUGGAGAUUUAACUGAAUUAAAACAUUGUAAAUGCUUACAUUUGUACUUACAUUUGUACCAUUGUUCUAGUAUCCAGUUUGCCUUCUUACCUGUAGUAAAUGGAAUUUGUGAAGUUGCCUUGACACGUUCAGAGGCGUCUACAGCUCUAUCACUCUGUCCAUACAAGCAUGUGGUUUCAAAACCUAUUUUCCAUUGUAACUUUCAUGGAUAUCAUUGCUUUUAUUUCACAGAAACCUUUUAUGUCUCAGUGACUUGCCCAGAAGGGACCACCUAUGAGGAGGUUAUAGGACAUUAUACGGUACAAGAUGCUUGUCAUGUACGUUCUAGUAAACUAACCACUUACCCUUCUCGGUUUCACUUAGCUUUCAUGACAGCACUUUCUUAUAAGGUAUUCCCUGUCACUUCCCUGAAGAAUUUGACAAAGUCAAGGAUUUCUUUUAUAACUAACUCGUUAUCCACUCUUUCCUUCUCAAACACAAGAGAGUUUUCAGAGGCUCUAGAGACAUCUUUACCAGCAUAUCUGAAACCAGGAUUUCUCUACCCAAGUGUCGUGACACCUUGCCUUAUUUUAAUGUUCCUGACAAUACUCCUACAUGUGUGUGUUAGGAAAGGUGUAAACGUCUUCCUUCUGCAACUAUUAAUGAAGGAGUUUCACGCACAUAAUAUGGUUAGGUACACUGUAUUCGCGAGGACGCGUCAAGUAGGUGACCGAGCGAUGUAACGGUGUCACAUAAUUAAUAAUGACAUAUACUGUAUUUAUAUUGCCUUGCCUAAUUAGCAAAUAAGUGUAUGUAUACAUAUAUGCAUAAGUGCAGAUAGUGGGUGUUGGCGGAUAAGGGUGGGGCGGACAUGAUCUCGCCACCCUGCGUCACACACACACACACACACACACACACACCAUACUUCUUUUAUUGCCAUCGAUAAGUAAUCGGUAGCACCUACAUUAUAGUAUCUAAGUAUUCUCCAUAGUUAAUCUCUCUCUAAUAUAUUUUAGCAUGUAUUAUUCUUAGCUAUAAGUACCUUUCCCCUUACCUUAUUUAUGUAAUUAGAGAGUUAUAGCUAUGAAUAUAUUCAUGUACUGUGAGUGCGGUCAACCCGCCCAUAUUUCUACUGUCAGCACUUUUUGAAGGCGCUAAGCGUCCCUUGUGCCGGCUCCGGCGACCGGCAGUCUCUUGCCAGGGUGUAACGCUGUACCACGCAGGGGACAUCCGUUGUCCCGUACACGCCACACCCUUCUCCCAGAACUCUGUACAUAUAUCUUAAUAUACUUAUUUUUAUAUGUUCACCUUUUACAUUCACCUGAAAACCACAGAAACUCACCACGAAUGACCUUACCUACAACAUAAAGGUAAGAAACUAAUGAACAGUGUCCAGCGGUAAUUGAUAAUUCAAAACCACACUGGAACAGUAGUAAUGGUAGUUGCAGUAGUCGUUGUUAUAUUAAUAGUAGUAAUACUAGGAGUAAUAAUAACAAUGGUGAUGAUGAUGAUGAUGAUGAUGAUGAUGAUGAUAAUAAUGAUAAUAAUAAUAAUAAAUUUUCAUUUAUAUA